rnacentral:lncRNA from 1 species
GCUUCAAGAGUUCUAGCCCCUAAAACUCGACUAGCCAUCAGUUGAUCAGACUUUCCUUCAGACCUAAGUUUAAACCUAUCAGAACCACCCAUUAGAUCUGACCAUCUUCUUCUAGACCUCUUAAAUCUUUAGAGCUAUUAGGAAUAGGCUUGUCUGAAAAGAACAAGCCUUUGUCCUAAACUUUAGAGUUGUUAGAGAGGGAGAGAGG